rnacentral:rRNA from 1 species
GACGAACGCUGGCGGCGUGCUUAACACAUGCAAGUCGAACGGAAAGGCCCCCAUCUUGGUGGGGGUGCUCGAGUGGCGAACGGGUGAGUAACACGUGGGUGAUCUGCCCUGUACUUCGGGAUAAGCUUGGGAAACUGGGUCUAAUACCGGAUAGGACCAUGGUUUAGUGUCUCAUGGUGGAAAGAUUAUUGUUUUGGUGCAGGAUGAGCUCGCGGCCUAUCAGCUUGUUGGUGGGGUAAUGGCCUACCAAGGCGUCGACGGGUAGCCGGCCUGAGAGGGUGGACGGCCACAUUGGGACUGAGAUACGGCCCAGACUCCUACGGGAGGCAGCGGUGGGGAAUAUUGAACAAUGGGCGCAAGCCUGAGGCAGCGACGCCGCGUGGGGGAUGACGGCCUUCGGGUUGUAAACUCCUUUCGUUAGGGACGAAGCCGCACUUUUUUUGGGUGUGGUGACGGUACCUUUGUUAAGAAGCACCGGCUAACUACGUG